ensembl:lncRNA
UGUAAUACUGCCUGACCAGGACCUGAGAAGUUGCCUUUGUUUAUGCCAGGUCUGAACUUGAUUUAUUAAAAAAUGAAAGCUUAAGAAUUUUUAUUUAGUGGAGCAUUCAAAUAUACAGGGGGCCCAAAUAAUCUGCAUAUAGGCUAUUGUCUCCUUGUCAUACUGAAGAGCCAGGGUGACAGAUGCUCUAGAAAUACCUUAAAUUGAUGCAGUACUAUUUACGUAAAUAAAUGAUGCCAAAAAGGAGGCACAAAUACAUGGUAGUGUUUAAAUUUGCUUAGUGACAUUUAAACAGGGAAGAUAGUACAUGUGAAAUGCAAAAUGAAAAUAAAACUUCUAAUCUCUAUUUUUUUCCUACAGCAGGUAGCAAAAAAAACCCAUUUUUUUAUGGUGGAAGUAUAUUAUAUAGACUGUGGUAAUCUAGUGGGCAAUAUCUGACAGACAGAUACUGUAUAAAGAAACUGUGAAAUGCAGUUCUCAGAACAGGCUGAAGUUAUAUUGAAUAGGAUGUUUAGCAGUUGCAUAUGCUCAGUGAUAACAGGGGUUUUUUUAUUUCUUUUUUUUUUCCACCUAGAGAGUUGGUGAAUUUGCAACAGCAAGAGUGGUAAACUUGAGCAACACUUGGAGCCCAGAGGGCCCAGCUCUGAGCCCAGUGCCCAGACCUGCCAUCUCUUUGGCUCUCAGGGUGGUGGCAACAGCAGCAAACUCUGCAAAACGCCUUUUUCCUGAAUAAAACAUGCAUGAUAAAUGAAUUUAGCGAGCAUUGAAGGGCUACUGACGAAGCAUAGGCUUUUUUGUAGCAUCCUAAACAGAAGGAUAUUGAAGGGAGCUGAUUCUGCUUUGAUCCUUGUGCUUGUUGUCAAAGCGCUUGGGAUUGAAGAGACUGUUGGCUACAAUUGACUGUGACAAUUAGGAGAUGAUCAGAGCCCUAGAGUGGAGCACUUAAAGGGUAAUUUACAUGUCAGUUUGUCGAAUAAAAAAAAGAUAUUCAGCUAAGAUUUUUUUUCCCCCCUUAGAGCCUUGUAAACUGCAAUUUGUGCUAUAGUAAGAAAAACCUGGCAGAGGAGUUAGGAUAGCCAUUUCCAUUUGAAAAGAGGCAAUCAUAAGGCCACUGCUGAGCCUAUUGUCCACUAAAAAUGCUGAUUUGCAGUCAGGGAGUGAAAGAGUGGAGACAUCACUAAAUAGAACCUUGUGCAAGGUAACUCCCCCUUGGUGGCUUUCUAAUGUUGGCUGAAGGUUUUAUAUACCUUAAAUCCUGCAUUUGCUAUCAUUACAAUAUUGUUACUGAUCAUGAAUGUCCUUUAUAAUAACAAAAAAAUGAAGAUAUUGAGGGGGAGGUGGGUGGAACAGAAGCCACCAGCCAGUUGAUAGGCUCACGCCAGCUAUCUAUUGUACCACAUCUUUCUUAUUCUCGUGCCUUUUGUAUGCCAACAUAAUUUUCUUGUCACCCUUUGCACUUUGCCAUUUAGGCACCUUCCGUAACAGUUUUCUCAUAGGUUUUUCAUACCUAUUUACACUUCUUUUUAGACACACAUCGAGUAGAUUUUCUUUUUUUAUUUUUUUUUUCCACAUUUAACCUCCUGGGAAAGGAAAAGAGAGAAGGAGGUGACAGUAGCCAUUCAGUUCAGAGUUUGUCUUUCUGUAACUGUGGUGUGAUUAGGCUCUAAUAAAGAGUUUAUACACACAGGCCAGAGAGAGAGCUGAAGUUAAGACAGCUAAGUAUUAAAUAACCUUGCUUGUGAUAAGUCCUUUUUUAUAUGAUAGCUCUGAUAAACCUAGAGUUGCUUUGACAGUAGGGUUAUAUGAACUUAUAAAAAUAUCAAGAAACAACACCUCCCUCAUUAUUCUGCUUGGUGUGAGCUGUAGCAUAUGUGAUAUUCCUAACAGUUUAAAGAAGGGAUAUUAGUGGAUGCAUAUGUGGUUCCAGUGUUUGUAUAUGCAAAUAAGUGUAUUUAUUUUGAGUUCGCAUCAUAGGCUUUUCUUCCAGUGAUGGCAUUGAUUCCUGUGUCAUCUCCCCAAAAGAAGAAAUGGACAUGUAUUCCAGUUUAGGAACCAGAAUUAAAGGCUUUGCUUUGUCACAAUUAUGACCAAGUAGCAUUUGCUGCCCAGACAUGUAUUGCCUAAAAAAACAGGGGCCACUUUUCUGGGGAAGUUUUGUGGCUUUCAGUAAAAGCCAAGCAUAUACACAAUGUCUCUGAUUCUCAUCCCAGUGGCAGACCCUGGUCAAACACCACUGACAUGAGCAGAUUUGGGAUUUCUAUUGGUGCCAGUAGGAUAAGGAUUAGGGUUUGUGUGCCCAUAGGGUCACCAAAAUGUCCUUUCCUUAGUUAUAUGCCUUAUGUCCUUAGGCUUCUUGUAUGUUGAACACCAGACAAUAAAGUUUUUGUUUCUGAACUUGUACUACAAACAUGUUUUAGCCUGGCUUCUGAUUUUUUUUUUUGUUUAAAUACUCCAAAAUACUUCUAAAAAACAUGCAAAAUUCUUCUUCAUUGUAAGGUUUAAUUCAAAGAAAAUAUUUUAAAACAUAUGUUUUCUUCUUUAGGAGAAUCAUUACGUUGUCAUUUUUUUUGGUAUGUUAUAAAUGCAAGAUGGUGGCUUUUGCCCUCUGUUGCUGUUGUACUAAACUUCUUUGAACAUGCCAAUGUUUGUGUGUGUUUAUCUCUGUAUCCAAUGUAAAGAACAAACAGGAAUAAAUAAAAUAAGAUAUGAAGAGUAAACAGUACGACAGGGCGAGUCUGGAAUGACUUUGGCUUAUAUGUGUCUGCAGAACUGAGGCAGAGUAAAUCUGUAUUAAAAAAAAUUAAAAAAUCAGGCAUAGCAGGAGGUCCUUGUCUCCCAGGUAAUGGCUAAAUGAUGAGCAGAUGAGUCAUAGUCAUAUUGAUUUAAGCAUUUUGUUCCAG